CCCGGUNCAGAGGGAAGCAAGACCGUCAGGUGGAGCAAAUCCCAGAAAACCGGGCCCAGUUCGGAUUNCCGUCUGCAACUCGNCGGCAUGAAGUUGGAAUCGCUAGUAAUGGCGCAUCAGCUACGGCNCCGUGAAUACGUUCCCAGGCCUUGUACACACCGCCCGUCACAUCAUGAAAGCCGGUUGUACCCGAAGUCGCCGCGUUANCCUCAAGGAAACAGGUGCCGAAGGUAUGNCUGGUGAUUGGGAUGAACUCGUAACAAGGUAACC
rnacentral:rRNA from 1 species